UUAAGUUCAGCGGGUAUCCCUACCUGAUCCGAGGCCAUGUUUUCGUAGACAGGCCGCCCGUCCAGGCAUCUCGCCGCAUCUCUCUGCGUUUCGAAGCCAGGACGGGCGCCGAUGUGUUUCGAGGGUCCCCUGGCGGGGAUCCCUCAACGCAAGGCAGAGCCUCAGACACAAACGGCGCUCGAACAGGUAUACCUCAAGGA
rnacentral:misc_RNA from 1 species